rnacentral:lncRNA from 1 species
GCACAGGUAAGUACCGGGGUGGCCACCCUGGGCAUGUGGGUAGCCAGGGCACCACCCAGCUUUGACCUGCUGGCCCUCUCCCAGAGGGGAAGGCCCACCGCGAGAAGCUGGAGCUGGUGGCCUCCUUCUCCUUCUUUGGCAACGUCAUGUCCAUGGCCAGCGUGCAGCUGGCAGGAGCCAAGCGUGACGCCCUACUGCUCAGCUUCAAGGAUGCUAAGGUGAGGGGUAGAGGGUGGUAGAGGGUGGUAGGCCCGGGGUGGGGGAUGGAGGGGGCAGGGCUACACAGGGGCCUGCUGGUACCCCCCAGGGUGCAUGGGGGCAGGCCAUAGUUCUGACCUUCUGCCCCCAGCUGUCGGUGGUGGAGUAUGACCCCGGCACCCACGAUCUGAAGACCCUGUCCUUGCACUACUUUGAGGAGCCUGAGCUGCGGGUAGGCCACAUCGAGGCACCCCGGCCAGCCCAGCUACUCCCUCCCUCCUUCUACCCCCAGUGCUGCCCGUGAGGGCUCCUGGCUAAUGUCCCUCUGCCCCCAGGACGGCUUUGUGCAGAACGUGCACACACCUCGAGUGCGGGUGGACCCCGAUGGGCGCUGUGCAGCCAUGCUCAUCUACGGCACCCGGCUGGUGGUGCUGCCCUUCCGCAGGGAGAGCCUGGCCGAGGAGCAUGAGGGGCUCGUGGGUGAGGGGUGAGCACUGGGGUCACGGCUGGGUCUGAGAGGCGUGGAGCUUGGUUCCCCUCUGUGUGGCCCACCCUGACGUCCCUGUGCCCCCAGGCAGAGGUCCAGCUUCCUGCCUAGCUAUAUCAUCGAUGUGCGGGCCCUGGACGAGAAGCUGCUCAACAUCAUUGACCUGCAGUUCCUGCAUGGCUAUUACGAGCCCACCCUGCUCAUCCUGUUCGAGCCCAACCAGACUUGGCCCGGGUGAGGCCCAGGGAUGCCCUCUUUGCUGUGGUCCCAGCUGCCUGGGCAGAGGGGACAGGGACGUGUAGCUCCCGCAGAGGGUGGAAGUGGGACCCCAGCCUUGGGGGGUGCUGCGAGUCCAGCUGACCCACCUACUACUCCAGGCGGGUGGCAGUGCGACAGGACACCUGUUCCAUUGUGGCCAUCUCACUGAACAUCACGCAGAAGGUCCACCCUGUCAUCUGGUCCCUCACCAGCCUGCCUUUUGACUGCACCCAGGCCCUGGCUGUGCCCAAGCCCAUAGGUGAGGAGGGCCCAGCAGUGCCCAGUGGUCCUGGGGGGGAGCAGUGAGCCUGCCUACCAGCCCGUGUCUGUCCCCAGGUGGGGUCGUGGUCUUCGCUGUCAACUCGCUGCUGUACCUGAACCAAAGUGUCCCCCCAUAUGGCGUGGCUCUCAACAGCCUCACUAUGGGCACCACUGCCUUCCCACUGCGUAAGUGUAGCUGACUAUUAGUGGGUGGGGCUGUGGGUGGGGCAGGGCCUCCAGCCAGCUUGACACCUUCCUCACAGGCACUCAGGAGGGCGUACGGAUCACCCUGGACUGCGCCCAGGCCGCCUUCAUUUCCUAUGACAAGAUGGUCAUUUCCCUCAAGGGUGGCGAGAUGUGAGCCCCUGGCCCUGUCUGCCCUGAGACCCCCACAUCCCCUCCCCUGCUCAUUCAGCACCCCCCACCCCUGCCCUCCAACAUCCUUCAUCCCCAGCCCUACUCAGCAGCCCGCCCCGCCCACAGCUAUGUGCUGACACUCGUCACAGACGGCAUGCGCAGCGUCCGUGCCUUCCACUUUGACAAGGCAGCCGCCAGUGUCCUCACCACCAGUGUGAGUAGGGGCAGGGGUGGAGGUCUUGCACUGGGUCCAGGUCUGGCCUCCUCUCAUCCACACGCCCGCCCUCAGAUGGUCACCAUGGAGCCUGGGUACCUGUUCCUGGGCUCGCGCCUGGGCAAUUCCCUCCUCCUCAAGUACACAGAGAAGCUGCAGGAGCCCCCAGCCAGUGCUGUCCGCGAGGCUGCUGACAAGGUGGGUGCUCAUGGUGGUGCCCAGGUGCUUGGCCACCUCCCCUUGGUGUAAAGCAGCCUGGAAAUGCUGUUCACCUCUGUCUCCCGCCUCACAGGAAGAGCCUCCCUCCAAGAAGAAGCGGGUGGACCCCACAGUGGGCUGGUCAGGUGAGAGCUGGACCGGUUGGGUGGGGUGGGUCUGGGAGCCAGGGCAAGGCUCAAGUGGGCUGUGUGCGCUACAGGGGGCAAGUCCGUGCCACAGGACGAGGUGGACGAGAUUGAAGUGUACGGCAGUGAGGCCCAGUCAGGCACACAGCUGGCCACCUACUCCUUUGAGGUGAGACUGGGGACAGCCGUGGAUGCCCGCCCCCUCCCACCACCUGACUGCCACUGUGUCUUCAGGUGUGUGACAGCAUGCUCAACAUCGGACCCUGCGCCAAUGCUGCUGUGGGCGAGCCCGCCUUCCUCUCCGAAGAGGUGCCUGGGGCCUGGGCUUGGGUUGGGGGCAGGAGCGGGGUUGGGGCAGCAUCUUUACCCCGACCUGUGCAGUUUCAGAACAGCCCUGAGCCAGACCUGGAGAUUGUGGUUUGCUCCGGCUAUGGGAAGAACGGGGCCCUAUCAGUGCUGCAGGUGUGUAGGGCAGGGGGGGUGGGCACCUGCGGGCAGCACCUGAGUAGGCUGACCCCAUCCCACCCUAUCUUCAUUCCAGAAGAGUAUCCGGCCCCAGGUAGUGACAACCUUUGAACUUCCUGGCUGCUAUGACAUGUGGACAGUCAUUGCCCCUGUGCGCAAGGAGGAGGUAGGUGGGACCCUAGGUGAUAGUGACUGUGGUGGCCUGAGGGCACCUGGAUCCAGUGGUCAUAGCCAUCACAGCUCUCUGUCCUCCCUGUCCUUGGCCCGUGCAGGAGGAGGCACCUAAGGCAGAGGGCCCAGAGCAGGAGCCGAGCACCCCUGAAGCAGAAGAUGAUGGCCGGAGACAUGGCUUCCUCAUUCUGAGCCGGGAAGACUCAACAAUGGUGAAGGGCGGGGUCUGGAUGUGGGCGUCUGGGGUUCCCCGGGGAAGGGCACAACUCACUACGUUACCUACAGAUCCUUCAGACUGGCCAGGAGAUCAUGGAACUGGACACCAGUGGCUUUGCCACACAGGGCCCCACGGUUUUUGCUGGAAACAUUGGGGACAAUCGCUACAUUGUCCAAGUGUCACCACUGGGCAUCCGCUUGCUAGAAGGAGGUAGGUGGGCAAGUGUAGGGAAGCGCGUCCUGGGGAGUAUGCUGCAUUGGCCACCCUGUGCUGACCACCCUGUGCCCACAGUGAAUCAGCUGCACUUCAUCCCUGUGGACCUGGGUGCCCCCAUCGUGCAGUGCGCUGUGGCCGACCCCUAUGUGGUCAUCAUGAGCGCCGAGGGCCGUGUUACCAUGUUCCUGCUCAAGAGUGAUUCGUAUGGUGGCCGCCACCACCGCCUUGCACUGCACAAGCCUCCACUGCACCAUGUAGGCCUCACCCUCUGUGUCUGCCAUCCCUGCCUAUGAUCCCCUAUCCCCACUGUCCCCGACCUACACUGGGCUUUGUCUCUCCCUGCAGCAGUCCAAGGUGAUCACACUCUGCCUGUAUCGUGAUGUCAGCGGCAUGUUCACCACCGAGAGCCGCCUGAGUGGGGCCCGUGAUGAGAUGGGGGGCCGCAGUGGUUCAGAGGCCGAAGGACUGGGCUCAGAGACCAGGUGUGCAGGGGGCCAGGGUGCAGGAGACCUGGGUCUCUGUGGCAGAUUGAGACAUGUCUGUGUCUUCAGCCCUACAGUGGAUGACGAGGAGGAGAUGCUCUAUGGGGACUCAGGCUCCCUCUUCAGCCCCAGCAAAGAGGAGGCCCGGAGGAGCAGCCAGCCCCCUGCUGACCGAGACCCUGCACCCUUUCGGGCAGAGCCCACCCACUGGUGCCUGCUGGUGCGAGAGAACGGCACCAUGGAGGUAGGUGCACACAUGUGGCUCAGCAGCCCUGGCAGCAUGGCAGGCCCUAUCGUCACUGACUGCUGUCCCCCACCAGAUCUACCAGCUUCCAGACUGGCGGCUGGUGUUCCUGGUGAAGAACUUCCCUGUGGGGCAGCGGGUCCUGGUGGACAGUUCCUUUGGACAGCCUACCACGCAGGGUGAGGCCCGCAAGGAAGAGGCCACGCGCCAGGGGGAGCUGCCCCUGGUCAAGGAGGUGCUGCUGGUUGCUCUGGGGAGUCGCCAGAGCAGGCCCUACCUGCUGGUGAGCCCUUUGGUGCCUGCCCAGAGGCUGGGACCUGCCCUCACAGCCCAGCCCAUUCCUCCACUCUGUCCUCGGGGCCCAGCCCCACCUCGUGGCCCACCCUGUCUCACUUCCAGGUGCAUGUGGACCAGGAGCUGCUUAUCUAUGAGGCUUUUCCCCAUGACUCUCAGCUUGGCCAGGGCAAUCUCAAAGUUCGCUUCAAGAAGGUGCAGCUGCUAGACCCUUUUGGGGUGGGUUGGGAGGGGUCCAGGCUACAGGGUCUGAAGGGCCUGGCGUUCAUCAACACCUUCACCAGGUCCCCCACAACAUCAAUUUCCGUGAAAAGAAGGCAAAACCCUCCAAGAAGAAGGCAGAAGGUGGCAGUGUGGAGGAGGGUUCUGGGGCCCGGGGACGUGUGGCACGUUUCCGCUACUUCGAGGACAUUUAUGGCUAUUCUGGGGUAGGCAGGCAGCUUUGUUUGGGCUUGGGGGUAGGGGAACAGGACCUUGCCCACAUGUUCUCACAGUGUCUGUCUCCAGGUGUUCAUCUGUGGCCCCUCACCCCACUGGCUCCUAGUGACUGGCCGGGGGGCUCUGCGGCUGCACCCCAUGGGCAUCGAUGGCCCCAUCGACUCCUUCGCCCCAUUCCACAAUGUCAAUUGUCCCCGAGGCUUUCUGUAUUUCAACAGACAGGUAGGAAGGUUAACUCUGGCCGCACCACAAGCACUGGUACUGCCCUGGCAAAGCUAGGCGCUAGGGACAGGAGGGCUCCUCAGCUGCAGCACAUCCCAGAGGACCAGGGAUGACUAUCUAGAGGAGGGUAGGGCCCAGGAGGUGGGAUCUGGGGCUUGAGGCUGGAGCAGUUGGCAGUGGAGGCCUGGCUGAUGGGGCAUACCCUGAAAGCCCUUGCCUCAUCUGUGACACCCACAUGGCAGCAAUGACCACCUGAGUCACUGACAGACUCUGGUGUUGAGUGCUUCCAAGGGGCUAAUGCACUCAGGACUGGACAGAAGCUGAGGCUGGGGCUGGCAGGGUCUCCCUCUGCCUGUGUUCUUCAGUCCCUGGCAUGGCCAGUCUCAGUCAUGUGGCUUUUAGUCUCUAGUGUCCUCUGGGCUUGGACUCCCAUGCCCUGUGCUGUAUUCCCCAGCCAGAAGGAUGGACAGGAGCCUACUGAUAGAAGGCAUGGGGACUGACGACCAAGGCUACAGCUCUUCCAGACCUUCCCCAGACUCGGUGACCCUAGCCAGGCAGUAGCGAGGCCUGCAGCCCUAGGCCUUGCUGACUAUUUCCACCCACCCCAGGGUGAGCUGCGGAUCAGUGUCCUGCCUGCCUACUUGUCCUACGAUGCCCCAUGGCCCGUCAGGAAGAUCCCACUGCGCUGCACGGCUCACUAUGUGGCUUACCAUGUGGAGUCCAAGGUCUGUCCCCUCCCCCAGCACUCCCUCCCCCAGGCACCCCAGGCGUGUGACACCAUUCAACUCCUAGGUGUACGCCGUGGCCACCAGCACCAAUACACCCUGCACCCGCAUCCCGCGCAUGACUGGUGAGGAAAAGGAGUUUGAGGCCAUUGAGAGAGGUAUGUGCCACCAGGGGUGGGGUGGACCAUGCCCAGGGCUGGCUACGACCACUGCCUCCUUGUCCCUGCAGAUGACAGGUACAUCCACCCCCAACAGGAGGCCUUCUCCAUCCAGCUCAUCUCCCCAGUCAGCUGGGAGGCCAUUCCCAAUGCCAGGUGAUGUUGGGCCCAGUGGGGGCUUCCGGGUGCCAGCAGGGCAGGACUAGGGUGUCCUGAUACAGCCUGUCCUUGUGCAGAAUUGAGCUGGAGGAAUGGGAACACGUCACAUGCAUGAAGACAGUGUCGCUGCGCAGUGAGGAGACUGUGUCGGGCCUCAAGGGCUAUGUGGCUGCUGGGACCUGCCUCAUGCAGGGAGAGGAGGUCACGUGCCGCGGGCGGGUAAGCAGCUGCCAGGUGGGGACAGGCGGCCCUUGGCAGCCUGUCUGCCAUCCCCACAUGUUCCCUUGCCCUGCCAGAUCCUCAUCAUGGACGUGAUUGAGGUGGUGCCCGAACCUGGCCAGCCCCUAACCAAGAACAAGUUCAAGGUCCUAUACGAAAAGGAACAGAAGGGGCCUGUGACCGCCCUGUGCCACUGCAAUGGUCACCUGGUGUCAGCCAUUGGCCAGAAGGUACACAGCUACUCCUCCCUGCUGUGUUUCUGCCUGCUCACCCUGCCCACUCCACUGACCCUUCUGCCCCCUAGAUCUUCCUGUGGAGCCUGCGGGCCAGUGAGCUGACGGGCAUGGCCUUCAUCGACACCCAGCUGUACAUCCACCAGAUGAUCAGCGUCAAGAACUUCAUCUUAGCUGCAGAUGUCAUGAAGAGCAUCUCACUGCUGCGCUACCAAGAAGAGAGCAAGACGCUGAGCCUGGUGUCCCGGGUACUUCAUGUGGUCUUGGGGUACAGGUGAGAGUCAUACUCGGGCUCCUCCUGACACCUUCUGCUCCCUGACAACAGGAUGCCAAGCCUCUGGAGGUGUACAGUGUGGACUUCAUGGUGGACAAUGCCCAGCUGGGCUUUUUGGGUGAGUAGGGUCUUGGGGGAGUGUCACCCUGGGGGUGGCUGGAGCUGACUCUGGGUCUUUGCUCCCUAGUGUCUGACCGAGACCGCAACCUCAUGGUGUACAUGUACCUGCCAGAAGGUCAGUGGCUCCCUCCCUCACUUGUUUUUUUCAAUGUUUUUUAGUAGUUGAUGGACCUCUAUUUAUUUGUAUGUGGUGCUGAGAGUCGAACCCAGUGCAUCACACAUGCUAGACAAGCUAUCACUGAGCCACAACCCCAGCCCUCCCUCCCUCACUUCUACUCCGGCUGGGUAUUGGGCACUGGGUGGGCAGUGAUCUGAGUUCUUCUGUCCUAGCCAAGGAGAGCUUUGGGGGCAUGCGCCUGCUGCGCAGGGCAGACUUCCACGUGGGUGCCCACGUGAACACGUUCUGGAGAACGCCAUGCAGGGGGGCCACUGAGGGGCCCAGCAAGAAGUCGGUGGUGUGGGAGAACAAGCACAUCACGUGGUUUGGUGAGUGGGGUGGGGUAACUGAGCUCACUGCCCCCUCGAGCCACACUGGAUGACUAGGGGGUUGACCUGGCUCACGCUUCCCCCCAUCCCCAGCCACACUGGAUGGCGGCAUCGGGCUCCUGCUGCCCAUGCAGGAGAAGACCUACCGGAGGCUGCUGAUGCUGCAGAACGCACUGACCACCAUGUUGCCCCACCAUGCUGGUCUCAACCCCCGUGCCUUCCGGUGAGCACCCACCAUCCUCAGGGCUCUGCCUACCCUCCCAGGUUGCCCUGACCCCCCACACCCCCUCCCCAGGAUGUUGCAUGUGGACCGGCGCAUCCUACAGAACGCAGUGCGCAACGUGCUUGACGGAGAGCUGCUCAACCGCUACCUGUACCUCAGCACUAUGGAGCGUGGGGAGCUGGCCAAGAAGAUUGGCACGACCCCAGACAUUGUGAGUUGGCCUGCUUUCCCCCGCCCAUCCUGUCCCUGCCCUGCUGAGCCCUGCCCUGACGGCUUUCACCCUACAGAUCCUUGAUGACCUGCUGGAGACUGACCGUGUCACCGCCCACUUCUAAGCAUGUGGAUGCCACCCUGCCCCCGCACACUGCCUCCCCCCACCUUUUGUACAAAACAAGGAAAACAAAUUGUUUGA